rnacentral:miRNA from 1 species
UAUAUGUGUGUGUGCAUGUUCAUAUGUGUGUAUAUAUGUGUUUUACAUACACACACACACACACACACACACACCCCACAUAC